rnacentral:rRNA from 1 species
ACGGCGAGUGAAGCGGCAAAAGCUCAAAUUUGAAAUCUGGUACCUUCGGUGCCCGAGUUGUAAUUUGGAGAGGGCAACUUUGGGGCCGUUCCUUGUCUAUGUUCCUUGGAACAGGACGUCAUAGAGGGUGAGAAUCCCGUGUGGCGAGGAGUGCGGUUCUUUGUAAAGUGCCUUCGAAGAGUCGAGUUGUUUGGGAAUGCAGCUCUAAGUGGGUGGUAAAUUCCAUCUAAAGCUAAAUAUUGGCGAGAGACCGAUAGCGAACAAGUACAGUGAUGGAAAGAUGAAAAGAACUUUGAAAAGAGAGUGAAAAAGUACGUGAAAUUGUUGAAAGGGAAGGGCAUUUGAUCAGACAUGGUGUUUUGUGCCCUCUGCUCCUUGUGGGUAGGGGAAUCUCGCAUUUCACUGGGCCAGCAUCAGUUUUGGUGGCAGGAUAAAUCCAUAGGAAUGUAGCUUGCCUCGGUAAGUAUUAUAGCCUGUGGGAAUACUGCCAGCUGGGACUGAGGACUGCGACGUAAGUCAAGGAUGCUGGCAUAAUGGUUAUAUGCCGCCCGUCUUGAAACACGGACCAAGGAGUCUAACGUCUAUGCGAGUGUUUGGGUGUAAAACCCAUACGCGUAAUGAAAGUGAACGUAGGUUGGGGCCUCGCAAGAGGUGCACAAUCGACCGAUCCUGAUGUCUUCGGAUGGAUUUGAGUAAGAGCAUAGCUGUUGGGACCCGAAAGAUGGUGAACUAUGCCUGAAUAGGGUGAAGCCAGAGGAAACUCU